UGCGAUUGCCUCGAACUUGCUUACCAGA
rnacentral:sRNA from 1 species